UACGGAGGGUGCAAGCGUUAUCCGGAUUCACUGGGCUUAAAGGGUGCGUAGGCGGGCAGGUAAGUCAGUGGUGAAAUCUCCGAGCUUAACUCGGAAACUGCCAUUGAUACUAUUUGUCCUGAAUAUUGUGGAGGUAAGCGGAAUAUGUCAUGUAGCGGUGAAAUGCUUAGAUAUGACAUAGAACACCAAUUGCGAAGGCAGCUUACUACACAAUGAUUGACGCUGAGGCACGAAAGCGUGGGGAGCAAACAGG
rnacentral:rRNA from 1 species